GAAGAUGGGGAGCCAGACAACAGAAGAGGGGGGUCUGGUAUGGGGAGGCCUCUAACCCUGCUAUCUGACCAGACUGGGGUCAGGGGCAAGCAGCACCUGGCCAUGCAGGGAAACUGCCACCUUCAGCUCCAUCUGCCCCAGAUUUUUCUCGAAGGUGUGUAUUCAAUCCAAUGAGACGUGAACUCAGGGAAAGCGGGCCAACUGUAUGCAGCUCUAACCUGGACGCAGACGAACUCGGAGCAGGAAAAACAGCGUGGGCUGAGCAGAAUUACCACUUGCAAUCCAGAAUCUUCCCUAGAAGAAGGCAGAAACUUCCAGAGCGGUACCGCGUGGAAGCCUAGCAUCAGGACUGCCCACUGUAGGAAACCUCCCAGCCCCAUCCAGUGCCUACAGGAGCUGGGACGCAGUGGAGUUGCUUCAGCUUCACCUCCAGGAACUUGUUAAACAAGCAAAUCCUCCAGGCUUAGCUCCAGCCGGCCAGAUCAGAAGCCCUGGAGGUGGCCCUGCAGUUUCCAAAAGCCCUCAAGGGCUUCCGGAUGUGGGCUUCCGGAUGUGUUUCUCCGUGGGAAACUUCCACCUUUCAAAGACCUACAGGGGGUACCAGAUCUCAUUCCUGAUUGUUAUAAGCCACCAUGUGGUUGCUGGGAAUUGAACUCUGGACUUCUGAAAGAGCAACAGGGUCUCCAGCUGAACCUGGCAAUCAUCCUUUCAGCUAGACUGACUGGUCUGACAGCAUUUAAGGUCCUUCUAUCU
rnacentral:lncRNA from 1 species